GACGAACGCUGGCGGCGUGCUUAACACAUGCAAGUCGAACGGAAAGGCCCUUCUUUUUUGGGGUGCUCGAGUGGCGAACGUGUGAGUAACACGUAAGUAACCUGCCCUUGACUUUGGGAUAACUUCAGGAAACUGGGGCUAAUACCGGAUAGGAGCUCCUGCUGCAUGGUGGGGGAUGGAAAGUUUCGGCGGUUGGGGAUGGGCUCGCGGCUUAUCAGCUUGUUGGUGGGGUAGUGGCUUACCAAGGGUUUGAGGGGUAGCCGGCCUGAGAGGGUGACCGGGCACAUGAGGACUGAGAUACGGCCCAGACGCCAAUGGUAGGCAGCGGGGGGGAGUAUGACACAGCGGGCGGGAGCCUGAUGAAGCACCGCCGCGUGCGGAAUGACGGGCUGUGGGUUGUAAACCGCAUCCGGCUGAGACGAAGCGUGAGUGACGGUAACGGAUAAAGAAGCACCGGCUAACUACGUG
rnacentral:rRNA from 1 species